GGGUUGUGAGGUUAAGCGACUAAGCGUACACGGUGGAUGCCCUGGCAGUCAGAGGCGAUGAAGGACGUGCUAAUCUGCGAUAAGCGUCGGUAAGGUGAUAUGAACCGUUAUAACCGGCGAUUUCCGAAUGGGGAAACCCAGUGUGAUUCGUCACACUAUCAUUAACUGAAUCCAUAGGUUAAUGAGGCGAACCGGGGGAACUGAAACAUCUAAGUACCCCGAGGAAAAGAAAUCAACCGAGAUUCCCCCAGUAGCGGCGAGCGAACGGGGAGCAGCCCAGAGCCUGAAUCAGUGUGUGUGUUAGUGGAAGCGUCUGGAAAGGCGCGCGAUACAGGGUGACAGCCCCGUACACAAAAAUGCACAUGCUGUGAGCUCGAUGAGUAGGGCGGGACACGUGGUAUCCUGUCUGAAUAUGGGGGGACCAUCCUCCAAGGCUAAAUACUCCUGACUGACCGAUAGUGAACCAGUACCGUGAGGGAAAGGCGAAAAGAACCCCGGCGAGGGGAGUGAAAAAGAACCUGAAACCGUGUACGUACAAGCAGUGGGAGCACGCUUAGGCGUGUGACUGCGUACCUUUUGUAUAAUGGGUCAGCGACUUAUAUUCUGUAGCAAGGUUAACCGAAUAGGGGAGCCGAAGGGAAACCGAGUCUUAACUGGGCGUUAAGUUGCAGGGUAUAGACCCGAAACCCGGUGAUCUAGCCAUGGGCAGGUUGAAGGUUGGGUAACACUAACUGGAGGACCGAACCGACUAAUGUUGAAAAAUUAGCGGAUGACUUGUGGCUGGGGGUGAAAGGCCAAUCAAACCGGGAGAUAGCUGGUUCUCCCCGAAAGCUAUUUAGGUAGCGCCUCGUGAAUUCAUCUCCGGGGGUAGAGCACUGUUUCGGCAAGGGGGUCAUCCCGACUUACCAACCCGAUGCAAACUGCGAAUACCGGAGAAUGUUAUCACGGGAGACACACGGCGGGUGCUAACGUCCGUCGUGAAGAGGGAAACAACCCAGACCGCCAGCUAAGGUCCCAAAGUCAUGGUUAAGUGGGAAACGAUGUGGGAAGGCCCAGACAGCCAGGAUGUUGGCUUAGAAGCAGCCAUCAUUUAAAGAAAGCGUAAUAGCUCACUGGUCGAGUCGGCCUGCGCGGAAGAUGUAACGGGGCUAAACCAUGCACCGAAGCUGCGGCAGCGACGCUGAUGCGUUGUUGGGUAGGGGAGCGUUCUGUAAGCCUGCGAAGGUGUGCUGUGAGGCAUGCUGGAGGUAUCAGAAGUGCGAAUGCUGACAUAAGUAACGAUAAAGCGGGUGAAAAGCCCGCUCGCCGGAAGACCAAGGGUUCCUGUCCAACGUUAAUCGGGGCAGGGUGAGUCGACCCCUAAGGCGAGGCCGAAAGGCGUAGUCGAUGGGAAACAGGUUAAUAUUCCUGUACUUGGUGUUACUGCGAAGGGGGGACGGAGAAGGCUAUGUUGGCCGGGCGACGGUUGUCCCGGUUUAAGCGUGUAGGCUGGUUUUCCAGGCAAAUCCGGAAAAUCAAGGCUGAGGCGUGAUGACGAGGCACUACGGUGCUGAAGCAACAAAUGCCCUGCUUCCAGGAAAAGCCUCUAAGCAUCAGGUAACAUCAAAUCGUACCCCAAACCGACACAGGUGGUCAGGUAGAGAAUACCAAGGCGCUUGAGAGAACUCGGGUGAAGGAACUAGGCAAAAUGGUGCCGUAACUUCGGGAGAAGGCACGCUGAUAUGUAGGUGAAGUCCCUCGCGGAUGGAGCUGAAAUCAGUCGAAGAUACCAGCUGGCUGCAACUGUUUAUUAAAAACACAGCACUGUGCAAACACGAAAGUGGACGUAUACGGUGUGACGCCUGCCCGGUGCCGGAAGGUUAAUUGAUGGGGUCAGCGCAAGCGAAGCUCUUGAUCGAAGCCCCGGUAAACGGCGGCCGUAACUAUAACGGUCCUAAGGUAGCGAAAUUCCUUGUCGGGUAAGUUCCGACCUGCACGAAUGGCGUAAUGAUGGCCAGGCUGUCUCCACCCGAGACUCAGUGAAAUUGAACUCGCUGUGAAGAUGCAGUGUACCCGCGGCAAGACGGAAAGACCCCGUGAACCUUUACUAUAGCUUGACACUGAACAUUGAGCCUUGAUGUGUAGGAUAGGUGGGAGGCUUUGAAGUGUGGACGCCAGUCUGCAUGGAGCCGACCUUGAAAUACCACCCUUUAAUGUUUGAUGUUCUAACGUUGACCCGUGAUCCGGGUUGCGGACAGUGUCUGGUGGGUAGUUUGACUGGGGCGGUCUCCUCCUAAAGAGUAACGGAGGAGCACGAAGGUUGGCUAAUCCUGGUCGGACAUCAGGAGGUUAGUGCAAUGGCAUAAGCCAGCUUGACUGCGAGCGUGACGGCGCGAGCAGGUGCGAAAGCAGGUCAUAGUGAUCCGGUGGUUCUGAAUGGAAGGGCCAUCGCUCAACGGAUAAAAGGUACUCCGGGGAUAACAGGCUGAUACCGCCCAAGAGUUCAUAUCGACGGCGGUGUUUGGCACCUCGAUGUCGGCUCAUCACAUCCUGGGGCUGAAGUAGGUCCCAAGGGUAUGGCUGUUCGCCAUUUAAAGUGGUACGCGAGCUGGGUUUAGAACGUCGUGAGACAGUUCGGUCCCUAUCUGCCGUGGGCGCUGGAGAACUGAGGGGGGCUGCUCCUAGUACGAGAGGACCGGAGUGGACGCAUCACUGGUGUUCGGGUUGUCAUGCCAAUGGCACUGCCCGGUAGCUAAAUGCGGAAGAGAUAAGUGCUGAAAGCAUCUAAGCACGAAACUUGCCCCGAGAUGAGUUCUCCCUGAC
rnacentral:rRNA from 1 species